AGCUUUACACAGUGGCAGUAUAAUAGCCAAUGAGGUUUAUCUGAGGUGCAAUCAUGGCUAAUUGAAAACUUAAUUAAUAUGACC
ensembl:snRNA U4 U4 spliceosomal RNA